GCCCGCCUAGCUCAAUCGGAUAGAGCGUCAGACUCUUAUGCAUCUGUGAGGCGGAUAAAUCUGAAGGCUGCGAGUUCGACCCUCGCGGUGGGCU